rnacentral:rRNA from 1 species
AUUGAACGCUGGCGGCAGGCCUAACACAUGCAAGUCGAGCGAGCGGCGGACGGGUGAGUAAUGUCUGGGAAACUGCCCGAUGGAGGGGGAUAACUACUGGAAACGGUAGCUAAUACCGCAUACCAUCAGAUGUGCCCAGAUGGGAUGAGCUAGUAGGUGGGGUAAUGGCUUACCUGGGCGACGAUCCCUAGCUGGUCUAGGAGGAUGAACAGCCACACUGGACCUGGGGCACGGGCCAGACGCCUACGGGAGGCAGGAGUGGGGAAAAUUGCACAAUGGGCGCAAGCCUGAUGCCGCCAUGGCGCGGGUGUGAAGAAGGCCUUCGGGUUGUAAAGCGCUUUCAGCGGGGAUGCGUUACCCGCAGAAGAAGCACCGGCUAACUCCGUGCCAGCAGCCGCGGUAAUUC